AUUGAACGCUGGCGGCAGGCCUAACACAUGCAAGUCGAGCGAGCGGCGGACGGGGGAGUAAUGUCUGGGAAAAUGCCUGAGGGAGGGGGAGAACUACUGGAAACGGUAGCUAAUACCGCAUACUAUCAGAUGGGCCCAGAUGGGAGUAGCUAGUAGGUGGGGUAACGGCUCACCUAGGCGACGAUCCCUAGCUGGUCUGAGAGGAUGACCAGCCACACUGGAAAUGAGACGCGGUCCAGACUCCUACGGGAGGCAGCAGUGGGGAAUAUUGCACAAUGGGCGCAAGCCUGAUGCAGCCAUGCCGCGUGUGUGAAGAAGGCCUUCGGGUUGUAAAGCACUUUCAGCGGGGAGGCGUUACCCGCAGAAGAAGCACCGGCUAACUCCGUGCCAGCAGCCGCGGUAAUUC
rnacentral:rRNA from 1 species